rnacentral:rRNA from 1 species
GACUCUCGGCAACGGAUAUCUCGGCUCAUGCAUCGAUGAAGAACGUAGCAAAAUGCGAUACUUGGUGUGAAUUGCAGAAUCCCGUGAACCAUCGAGUUUUUGAACGCAAGUUGCGCCCAAAGCCUUUUGGUCGAGGGCACGUCUGCCUGGGCGUCACAC